rnacentral:rRNA from 1 species
CACGUAGGGCGCAAGCGUUGUCCGGAAUUAUUGGGCGUAAAGAGCUUGUAGGCGGUUUGUCGCGUCUGCUGUGAAAUUUCGGGGCUCAACCCCGAACUUGCAGUGGGUACGGGCAGACUAGAGUGUGGUAGGGGAGACUGGAAUUCCCGGUGUAGCGGUGAAAUGCGCAGAUAUCGGGAGGAACACCGGUGGCGAAGGCGGUUCUCUGGGCCUUACCUGACGCUGAGGAGCGAAAGCGUGGGGAGCGAACAGG